rnacentral:rRNA from 1 species
UACGAAGGGGCUAGCGUUGUUCGGAUUUACUGGGCGUAAAGCGCACGUAGGCGGAUCGUUAAGUCGGGGGUGAAAUCCUGGAGCUCAACUCCAGAACUGCCUUCGAUACUGGCGAUCUCGAGUCCGGAAGAGGUGAGUGGAACUCCUAGUGUAGAGGUGGAAUUCGUAGAUAUUAGGAAGAACACCAGUGGCGAAGGCGACUCACUGGUCCGGUACUGACGCUGAGGUGCGAAAGCGUGGGGAGCAAACAGG